UUGAAUAAAUCUGGCUUGGGUUGUCGCUGGCUCUCCGGAGCAUGUGCACGCUCUCGUCACCUUUAUCUUUCCACCUGUGCACACACUGUAGUCCUGGAUAUCUCUCGUCGAAAGGCGGAUGCGGAGGUUGCUGCUUGCUCGGCUUCCUCUGAAUUUCCAGGUCUAUGAAUUUCUACACACCCAACGUAUGUCUCAGAAUGUGAUCAUUGGGCCUCAUGUGCCUAUACAAUCAAAUA
rnacentral:misc_RNA from 1 species